ACGGGUGAGUAAUACAUCGGAACGUAUCCCGGAGUGGGGGAUAGCCCGGCGAAAGCCGGAUUAAUACCGCAUACGCUCUGAGGAGGAAAGCGGGGGACCUUCGGGCCUCGCGCUCAAGGGGCGGCCGAUGGCGGAUUAGGUAGUUGGUGGGGUAAAGGCCUACCAAGCCGACGAUCCGUAGCUGGUCUGAGAGGACGACCAGCCACACUGGGACUGAGACACGGCCCAGACUCCUACGGGAGGCAGCAGUGGGGAAUUUUGGACAAUGGGGGCAACCCUGAUCCAGCAAUGCCGCGUGUGUGAAGAAGGCCUUCGGGUUGUAAAGCACUUUUGUCCGGAAAGAAAUCAUCGGGGCCAAUACCCCUGGUGGAUGACGGUACCGGAAGAAUAAGCACCGGCUAACUACGUGCCAGCAGCCGCGGUAAUACGUAGGGUGCGAGCGUUAAUCGGAAUUACUGGGCGUAAAGCGUGCGCAGGCGGUGCUGUAAGACCGAUGUGAAAUCCCCGGGCUUAACCUGGGAACUGCAUUGGUGACUGCAGCGCUGGAGUAUGGCAGAGGGGGGUGGAAUUCCACGU
rnacentral:rRNA from 1 species